UUUGACCAUGGAACUGUUUUUAUCCAAGAAAACAUCAAAUACCGCAGUAGGGGGACAAAAGGCGAUAAAGGAUCUAAAAGCAUGGGGGCAAUAUACCGCAGUGAGCAGUGCAGCCCUUGUAAUGCAAAUCCAAGACGCUGAACAUACAACCAAGAAGUCACAGGUUAUUGAUUCAACGCAUGCUGAAGAACAAUCCAACGGUGUUUGUGCUGUCUUCUAAUUGGAACUGAAAAGAGAGAUAGAAAAAUCUUUACUACAUAACCUAAAUCUCCUACCCAAGAAGAAGAAGAGAACGAUGUUCAUCAGAAUAAAACGAGAACCGAAUGAAAACAUUUGCCGGAGCCGAAGGCCAGUCCACGAACCCAUCGGACCUUCGACGAUUCCUACCCUAGGCCCCCGAACACGCCUUCUUCUC
rnacentral:lncRNA from 1 species